rnacentral:rRNA from 1 species
GAUGAACGCUGGCGGCGUGCCUAAUACAUGCAAGUCGAGCGAACGGACGAGAAGCUUGCUUCUCUGAUGUUAGCGGCGGACGGGUGAGUCACACGUGGAUAACCUACCUAUAAGACUGGGAUAACUUCGGGAAACCGGAGCUAAUACCGGAUAAUAUUUUGAACCGCAUGGUUCAAAAGUGAAAGACGGUCUUGCUGUCACUUAUAGAUGGAUCCGCGCUGCAUUAGCUAGUUGGUAAGGUAACGGCUUACCAAGGCAACGAUGCAUAGCCGACCUGAGAGGGUGGUCGGCCACACGGGAACUGAGACACGGUCCAGACUCCUACGGGAGGCAGCAGUAGGGAAUCUUCCGCAAUGGGCGAAAGCCUGACGGAGCAACGCCGCGUGAGUGAUGAAGGUCUUCGGAUCGUAAAACUCUGUAAUUAGGGAAGAACAUAUGUGUAAGUAACUGUGCACAUCUUGACGGUACCGAAUCAGAAAGCCACGGCUAACUACGUG